GGAGAGAUGCCCGAGUGGCUGAAGGGGCUCGCCUGCUAAGCGAGUGUAGGGUGAAACCUACCGAGGGUUCGAAUCCCUCUCUCUCCGCCA
rnacentral:tRNA from 1 species